GCACUAAGUCACUUUGUCUUUAUGGCAAAUGUGAGAUGCAGUGUAUGGAAUGUCAAAUUUCUAGUAUGAGAAAUUAACGAUUUAAGUCCUUCUUAAAUGAGGCCAUUUACCCAUAGAGGGUGCCAGGCCCGUAUAACGUUAAUGAUUACUAGAUGGCAUUUCCAAAGAGUCGUGUUGCUUGAUAGUGCAGCACUAAGUUGGUGGUAAACUCCAUCUAAAACUAAAUAUAACCAUGAGACCGAUAGUAAACAAGUACCGUGAGGGAAAGUUGAAAAGAACUCUGAAUAGAGAGUUAAAUAGUACGUGAAACUGCUUAGAGGUUAAGCCCGAUGAACCUGAAUAUCCAUUAUAGAAAAUUCAUCAUUAUGAUUUUAAUAUUAAUAAUAUUAUAAUAAUGGUGUGCAUUUUUUCUAUAACGGACAUUGUAAUCUAUUAACAUAAAAUAUAUUUAUCAUAAGAUCAAUGAUGCGUAAGUUUAUUCAAAUUAUUUUGCUUGCAAUUUAACAUAGAAUAAAUGCUCUUGAUUUGAUAAAGUGUUGAUAGAUUUAUUAUAUAUAGUGCUUAAAUAUUUAUAUUUUAUAAUAGCAUAUUAAUCAUUGAUUUUUAUGUUUAUUAUAUGCACUUAUAUGAUUAACAAUGCGAAAGAUUCAGGAUACCUUCGGGACCCGUCUUGAAACACGGACCAAGGAGUCUAACAUAUUUGCAAGUUAUUGGGUAUCAAAACCUAAUAGCGAAAUUAACAUAACUUAAUGGGAUUAGUUUUUAGAUUAUUUAUAGUCUAUUAAUUCAAUCCCGGGGCGUUCCAUAUAGUUAUGUAUAAUAAUAUUUAUAUUAUUUAUACCUCUAACUGGAGCGUACCUUGAGCAUAUAUGCUGUGACCCGAAAGAUGGUGAACUAUACUUGAUCAGGUUGAAGUCAGGGGAAACCCUGAUGGAAGACCGAAACAGUUCUGACGUGCAAAUCGAUUGUCAGAAUUGAGUAUA
rnacentral:rRNA from 1 species